rnacentral:rRNA from 1 species
AGCGAACGCUGGCGGCAGGCCUAACACAUGCAAGUCGAACGGACCCUUCGGGGUUAGUGGCGGACGGGUGAGUAACACGUGGGAACGUGCCUUUAGGUUCGGAAUAGCUCCUGGAAACGGGUGGUAAUGCCGAAUGUGCCCUUCGGGGGAAAGAUUUAUCGCCUUUAGAGCGGCCCGCGUCUGAUUAGCUAGUUGGUGAGGUAACGGCUCACCAAGGCGACGAUCAGUAGCUGGUCUGAGAGGAUGACCAGCCACACUGGGACUGAGACACGGCCCAGACUCCUACGGGAGGCAGCAGUGGGGAAUCUUGCGCAAUGGGCGAAAGCCUGACGCAGCCAUGCCGCGUGAAUGAUGAAGGUCUCAGGAUUGUAAAAUUCUUUCACCGGGGACGAUAAUGACGGUACCCGGAGAAGAAGCCCCGGCUAACUUCGUG